GGCUGGCUCCGUCAGAAGAGCGUGCGACUCUCGAUCUUGCGAUUGUGAGUUCGAGCCUCAUGUUGGGUGUAGAGAUUACUUUAAAAAUUAAAAACUU